rnacentral:rRNA from 1 species
UACGUAGGGUGCAAGCGUUAUUCGGAAUUACUGGGCGUAAAGCGCGCGCAGGCGGCUCUGCAAGACAGAUGUGAAAUCCCCGGGCUCAACCUGGGAACUGCAUUUGUGACUGCAUGGCUAGAGUACGGCAGAGGGGGAUGGAAUUCCGCGUGUAGCAGUGAAAUGCGUAGAUAUGCGGAGGAACACCGAUGGCGAAGGCGGCAUCCUGGACCGGUAUUGACGCUGAGGCGCGAAAGCCAGGGGAGCAAACGGG